UGGGUGAUCUGCCCUGCACUUUGGGAUAAGCCUGGGAAACUGGGUCUAAUACCGAAUACACUCUGCUGGUCGCAUGGCCUGGUGGGGAAANCUUUUGCGGUGUGGGAUGGGCCCGCGGCCUAUCAGCUUGUGGUGGGUNAUGGCCUACAAGGCGACGACGGGUANCUGGU
rnacentral:rRNA from 1 species